AAAUAAAGUCAAGAUUUACAUUGUUUUAUUCUUGUGUUUUCAGCUUCUUGAUCUGUUGCUUUUAAUGAAAACAAAUGAGUUAUCUUUUCAGAGACCCUCAGACUGUGGAUGGGGAAUGGGUAGCCCAGGAGUCCAGCGUCGGGGCGGACUGGCCGGCCGGCCAGCGACAGCAGCCAGAGGGACCAGCGCCACCCUGCCCCGCCACCCCGCGUCCCUCGAACCCAGCCCAGCAGAUGCAGAGCUCACAUUUCUCCUGCUAGCGGCUCUCCCGGCUCCCCUGUGAGCCCCGAUAGCCAGGCCCAUUCCCUGUCAGCACCUGCAGCCAAGCAGGAGGCCUGGGGACGGAGGAAUAUUGUCCUGUUCUGGCUUCGCCAGGCCAGGAUUAGAACUGCAUGCAGUGCAGCAUCUGACACUCGCUGGACACUCAGGAAGGACGAGACGGCCCUCCUCCUCCUGCCACCCAGAGCCCCAGCCUCCUCCCAGCCCCCCCAGGCUCCCAGAAUAGCCUGCGGCCAGAGCUGGCCUGUGGUAAACAGCUCCAGAGCCUCUGGGUAGGUCUUGGAUGAGUAAUCCUUAGCAAAACAUCGUGGGAUCCAGAAAGGUGCAGGUGCCAGGCCUAAGCUGUGUGGGCCCCUCCAGUGCCCCCACCCGGACCCUCCGCUGGGCCACUCCAGGCCAGGCGUGAGUAGAGGCACAGGUGGUGCUCCCCUCUGUCCCAUCCCAGGAGGGCAUCCAGGAGGCUGGGACGUCCCCCAUCCAUGUGGGAAGGAAAACCCGCCAUCCGGUUGCUGAUGGGGCCUCAGGGCGUUGUGGGGGGCCCCUGGGAGGAGGUGGGAGGCACAUAAAACUCCAUCUGCGGGUGGACUGCACACCCCUCUGGCCACAGCCCCCAGGAGGCUUUCUCCUCCACGCCAUCACACACCCCAAACUUUGUGGCCCAGCAUCUCUCUCCCACCCUUGUCCAUACAUUGUGGUGCACCCUUCGCAGACGAGCACUGCGUGAGUUCCUUCAGUUCUCUUCCAACAUCCCCUGCGCAGCCAUUCAGACAGGCUUCCUUCUCUCCCCUUCUUACCCGAGUGGCACGGCUCUGUGCUUCCUCUCACACCUCACUACUUACGCACAGCAGCCUCCUUCUCCUGGGUCAGCCAGGCCAGCUGGCUGCUCAGGGCUCAGGCGUUGGCUCCUCUGAGGAGUCCUGGGCUCCGACCAGCUGUUGGGCAACGCCGGGACGACAGCCUCUCCUGUCUUAAAGGGCAGGAGGUACUGCGGCUUCUUCCCCUGCCACAGCCCCAGGGACCCGACGGGGACACUCUGCCUCUGCCUCUGUGCGGGGUCAUGCUCUGCCUGGAAAGCUCCUCCUUCCUUCCUGGCCCAUUGGAAAAUCGCCAUGUGUCCUCUGGCCAGUCCCAGCACCCCCAGGUGGGACCCUAGCAACCCUGCACCUCCCACUGCAGCCCUGUCUCCCUCCUCCUCGCAGGGCAGCUGCCAAGCCUCACCCAGUCCAGGUCUCCCCAGGCAGGAUCCCUUGGGGGAAACCUGAGGAGGCAGCUGUUUCCCCCACCCCCCAAGUGUCCUCAGAGAACCCCUUCCAGACCCCAAAGUCCAGAGCUCAGCCUCAGGUUCCCUCACUCGGGUCUGGGAACUGGAAGCCGGUCCUGCUCCCCUCCCCAGCCUCUGCCCCAUUUUUUUGUUCGCUUCCAUGUAGAGCAGACCAGAAUAUGCCACCCCAAAAUAUGCCUCUUUGGCAUAAGCAUUAUUUUGAGCUGCUUAUUUUGAGAAACUGCAGCCACAGGAGAAACUCUGCAAGCAAGCAUGGAAGCUGCUCUUCUGUGAGAGAAAGUCACAUCCGUACAGGAGGUGCCUCCCUCCCUGAGCCAGAAGGCCGGCUGAAGUCACCAGAGAUGCUCAUCCACGGAGAAGGCCUGACCCCAGUUUGGGGGGUCUGUCCCAACUUCAAGGCCUGUGAAGGCUGCAGAGAGAAUUGCUUUUCCACCUUGCAGCACGAAGCCUCCCCCCAGGAUCCUCCACGCCCCCAGCUGCUCCAAGACUUUCAAUUAUGAGCACCUGUGCCCUCCUGGAGUCUGGUGCAGCCCGUCCGGGACUCCGGCUGGACCUCCCUCCGUCCUCACCACACAGCUGCUCUCCCUGCCCCACCCUCAGCCCUCCUCAGCCCCACCCACCUGGACCCUAGUGUCCACAGACGGGCAGACUGAACCACCAAAUUCCUCCUCAGAGCCCAGUAAAGGCACCAGGCAGAAGGGUCCGGCCGAGGGCUGGCCGCUGUCUCCUCACUCCUCAGUGGGGUCCUGUCUUCUGACUUUUGUCACGUGCUGCCGCAGCCUGUGGACGCCUGGUCCCCACGUGGAGACGGGCUUGUGGUCCCUCCUCUGAGAGCCUGCUUUGUGCCCGGCCCCGGGCCGAACUUUGAACGAGGCUCCUGUCUUACUCGAGUGCUUAUGUUUUGGGGAGAUAAACAAUAAACAGGAACAGAAGAAAGUGUCUUCAGA